rnacentral:sRNA from 1 species
GGGAAGUUUUAAAAGAAGAAACUGGAACAGACCUAUUCCUCAAAGAGGAAGAUGAACCUGCUUACAAAAGCUGCAAACAAGAGAAUACCGCUUCUGGGAAGAAAGUCAGAAAAUCACUAGUCUUAGAUAAUUGGGAAAAAGAAGAAUCAGGCAUUCAACUGUUGACUGAAGACAUUUCAGACAUGCAGUGACUGCAGCACUAGUAUUCCUGAUAUUGAAGCAUACCUUGAAAACAUCUUUGGCAAUUACAUAUGACCACCUUACAUCUGUUUUCAGCCACUGCUUUCUAAGAGCCAUGUAGCACAUUCUCUUAAUCCAUGUAAAGUGAUUUGAGUUCCUGGCGUUUAAUUAACAUAGAACUUUUGGGUAAAGUUAUUAUAUAGAAGAUCAUGUCUAUAACAUAGUAAUCUUUAAAAUAAGGGAAGGAAAAAAACAUAAGCUUGAUUUUUUGUUAUGAAUAUAUUUCCUAAUUUGUAAAUAAAGCAUUCUUGGCUCAUUUUUUGACAUUACAUCCUCUCUUUAAACCUUUUGCAAAAUUUUGAAGCAAUAAAGACUAACAUUUA